AAGACACUCUUUCUUACUUGCAUAGUUAAACUAAGGACUCAUUGCUUCUUAACCAUAUGCCGAUCGUCUUGAGGAAGGAAGACUAUGAUAUUCCAGCAUGGUUCUUGUUCACUUCCAAGGGUCCCCUUGCGACUGUGUAAUUAAGAUACAAUAUAAACUUUAACCAAAUUAGGGUUAUUUUGUCCUCUGUUUUCUACCUUGUGAACGGAAGUAACUAGCUUUCUCUCUAUGAUG